UUCACCAGUAAUUUUGAGCUGCUGAUAGAGGCUAUAAAGAACUGACAAAUAUGGGUCUGUCUCCCUCUACUGGGCCCAAAUUCAGACCAGGAUCUGAAAUGUGAGAAAGCCUAACUGUGAAUAACAUGACAAAUUCUUGGUAUGCCAAAGCACCAGAUAGAAAUUAUUGAACCUCUGAGUUAAAAAACUGACUUAGACAAGACUGCACCACACUGGUUCAUAAGCAACAAGUGUGAAGCAAUAUGGGAAUCUGCACACUGAAACUGCUAUUGCCACAAACUGGACCAGUUCUGUUUCAUCUGGAAAGAAUCCAGUUCAUGUGCUCAUUCCGCUCCACAACACAAGUCAAAGCCAAGUCAGCGAGGGCAAACCCAGGGAUUUGCUUCAGAAGCCUUCCUCUAAUCCAGACUAAUGUGCUCCUAGAGAGGUGUCUGUAGAAAAUACUCACAUAUGAACAUGCUCUGGACAAAGCUUUAUUCAGUCACAGGCAAAACAGAGAGGUGAAUGUGGAGGAUGAAUCUGGUGAAGU